AGUGAACGCUGGCGGUAGGCCUAACACAUGCAAGUCGAACGGCAGCACAGUAAGAGCUUGCCUUUACGUGUGUCGAGUGGCGGACGGGUGAGGAAUACAUCGGAAUCUACUUUUUCGUGGGGGAUAACGUAGGGAAACUUACGCUAAUUCCGCAUACGACCUACGGGUGAAAGCAGGGGAUCUUCGGACCUUGCGCGAUUGAAUGAGCCGAUGUCGGAUUAGCUAGUUGGCGGGGUAAAGGCCCACCAAGGCGACGAUCCGUAGCUGGUCUGAGAGGAUGAUCCGCCACACUGGAACUGAGACACGGUCCAGACUCCUACGGGAGGCAGCAGUGGGGAAUAUUGGACAAUGGGCGCAAGCCUGAUCCAGCCAUACCGCGUAGGUGAAGAAGGCCUUCGGGUUGUAAAGCCCUUUUGUUGGGAAAGAAAAGCAGCAGGUUAAUACCCCGCUGUUCUGACGGUACCCAAAGAGUAAGCACCGGCUAACUUCGUG
rnacentral:rRNA from 1 species